AACGAACGCUGGCGGCAUGCCUAACACAUGCAAGUCGAACGAGACCUUCGGGUCUAUUGGCGCACGGGUGCGUAACGCGUGGGAACCUGCCCUUAGGUUCGGAAUAACUCCCCGAAAGGGGUGCUAAUACCGGAUAAUUUCUUCGGACCAAAGAUUUAUCGCCUUUGGAUGGGCCCGCGUUGGAUUAGCUAGUUGGUAGGGUAAAAGCCUACCAAGGCGACGAUCCAUAGCUGGUCUGAGAGGAUGAUCAGCCACACUGGGACUGAGACACGGCCCAGACUCCUACGGGAGGCAGCAGUGGGGAAUAUUGGACAGUGGGCGAAAGCAUGAUCCAGCAAUGCCGCGUGAGUGAUGAAGGCCUUAGGGUUGUAAAGCUCUUUUACCCGGGAUGAUAAUGACAGUACCGGGAGAAUAAGCUCCGGCUAACUCCGUG
rnacentral:rRNA from 1 species